GGAGGCCGUGCGCGCCGCGCUCCCAGCCUCCAGCCGCGGCCGCUCCACCAGCCUGAGCUCUGGCUCCACGCCGCGCACUAGAACAGCUCAGGGGACUGACGGAGACAGAGCGUGCGCGGGGAGAGCGAGGCCAUUCCAGGAUCUGGAGCCUAUCCGCCCAGGAGGUGGGAACCUGGAGGGCGGGCGCCGGGAAGCUACAAGACGGGGACUCCCGGGACGUGCUUCGCUUCGGGAUGGGAACCUCCUACAUUGGCCCCAGUUGAGCGGCACGGCCACCCUGAGGCUUAAAGUCCUCCUCCCAAGCAGAUAUCUCCUGCAACCUCCUGAAAAGACGGGAACUCAGAGAUGAGUAUAACAAGGAGACUUCGCUGGCAGAUCUUGUUCACCAGAAAGUGACAUCGUUUGGUGGUGGGGAGCUGCCUGGGCUGAGGAUGUGCUCAGUAGUUAAAGCGCUUGUGAGAGCCCGAGGAAUGCACAACCACAGAACCCAUCAGAAACAGCGAGGGACCAUUAAGAGAUCUGUAAAGCUCAGAUGGAAGGAGCUGAAGGUGAAAUCUCAGACAUGCUGUCUGGCCCCUUGACCUCAGGCCCACUGGGAACUGCUCCUGCCCUGGGAACGGGCCUUGGAUACACUGGCCUGUGGGCAAGGUCUGUGAAACAGCAG